rnacentral:rRNA from 3 species
AAACCAACAGGGAUUGCCUUAGUAACGGCGAGUGAAGCGGCAACAGCUCAAAUUUGAAAUCUGGCCCUCGGGUCCGAAUUGUAAUUUGUAGAGGAUGAUUUUGGUGCGGUAUCUUCCGAGUUCCUUGGAACAGGACGCCUUAGAGGGUGAGAGCCCCGUACGGUUGAAUGCCUAGCCUCUGUAAAUCUCCUUCGACGAGUCGAGUAGUUUGGGAAUGCUGCUCUAAAUGGGAGGUAAAUUUCUUCUAAAGCUAAAUAUUGGCCAGAGACCGAUAGCGCACAAGUAGAGUGAUCGAAAGAUGAAAAGCACUUUGAAAAGAGGGUUAAAUAGCACGUGAAAUUGUUGAAAGGGAAGGAUUUGUGACCAGACUUUUUCUGGGCGGAUCAUCCGGGGUUCUCUCCGGUGCACUUUGCCCAGUAAAGGCCAGCAUCGAUUUUCGGCGGCGGAUAAAAGCAGUGGGAAUGUGGCUCCCCACGGGGAGUGUUAUAGCCCAUUGUAUAAUACGCUGCUGGGGAUCGAGGUACGCGCUUCUGCAAGGAUGCUGGCGUAAUGGUUAUCAAUCACCCGUCUUGAAACACGGACCAAGGAGUCGAACAUUUAUGCGAGUGUUUGGGUGUUAAACCCUCACGCGUAAUGAAAGUGAACGGAGGUGAGAGCCCGUACGGGUGCAUCAUCGACCGAUCCUGAAGUUUUCGGAUGGAUUUGAGUAAGAGCAUAACUGUUCGGACCCGAAAGAUGGUGAACUAUGCGUGGAUAGGGUGAAGCCAGAGGAAACUCUGGUGGAGGCUCGCAGCGGUUCUGACGUGCAAAUCGAUCGUCAAAUCUGCGCAUGGGGGCGAAA